rnacentral:rRNA from 1 species
AGGGGCCCACCCGGAGGGGAGGCCGGGGGUUUAUUUGGCUUAACACCGGAAAACUCCCCCCGGCCGGACACCGGAAGGGUUGACAGAAUGGAAGCUCUUUCUUGAUUCACUGGGGGGGGGGGCAUGGGCGUUCUUAGUUGGGGGGGCGAUUUGUCUGGGUAAUUCCCAUAACAAACGAGACUCUAUCCUACUAAAUAGAUCGUUGGCUUACAAACGCCAAUGAGACUUCUUAGAAGGACAGGCGGCGAUUCAGCCGCACGAAACAGAGCAAUAACAGGUCUGUGUCGCCCUUAGAUGUCCGGGGCCGCACGCGCGCUACACUGAAGUGAUCAGCGUGCAUUCUCAGCCUACUCUGCCAAGAGUGGGAAACCCAUUGAACCUUCUUCGUGAUUGGGAUAGGAGAUUGAGAUUAUUCUCCUUUGAACGAGGAAUUCCCAGUAAGCGCGAGUCAUAAGCUCGCGUUGAUUACGUCCCUGCCCUUUUGUACACACCGCACCGUCGCUACUACCGAUUGAAUGU